UGGCCCAGUGGUUAAGUGUUUGGCUGCUAAUCAAAAGAUUGGUGGUUCAAAUCCACU
rnacentral:tRNA from 1 species